rnacentral:rRNA from 1 species
CAGCCGCCGCGGGAAUACGUAGGUGGCAAGCGUUAUCCGGAAUUAUUGGGCGUAAAGCGCGCGUAGGCGGUUUCUUAAGUCUGAUGUGAAAGCCCACGGCUCAACCGUGGAGGGUCAUUGGAAACUGGGAAACUUGAGUGCAGAAGAGGAAAGUGGAAUUCCAUGUGUAGCGGUGAAAUGCGCAGAGAUAUGGAGGAACACCAGUGGCGAAGGCGACUUUCUGGUCUGUAACUGACGCUGAUGUGCGAAAGCGUGGGGAUCAAACAGGAUUAGAUACCCCCGUAGUCCCUGUCUCUUAUAC